CUUUCAUUCAUUUUUAUUAAAUCUGCUGAAGUGAAGCUAUAUGUGUUCCUUGUUUUAGUGACCUUUGUAAAUUCUGAAGGAAGUUUGCCAUUGGGUAAUGCUGAACAAUCAGCAUUCAUCUGGAUAAAAAAUCCACGCACAGAACUGAAACUUGUUUUCAGUGGUAGGUUGUACUUCUCGGCAAGUUGUGUUAUCAUACCUACACACCACAAAUAACAAUCAGAUCCUAAUUAUAUAGACACAUACACAUUUACCUGUACAAACUGUGGAAAUGAUUCAGACAGGUUGAACAUGUCAGAUAAGUAAAGGACGGACCAAAAGAGUUUUAAAUAUAGAGAUCACAAUAUAAUUGUUCAGCCUCAUUUAGAUAAGAUUGAAUUUUUU
rnacentral:lncRNA from 1 species